rnacentral:lncRNA from 1 species
CACAACCUAAGAUACAAAUCAGGAGCUACUGAUGCAAAGAAUGGGGACCAGGAGGAAGAGUUUCUUCGAGACCUGGUGGUUGAAGAGCAGUGGAUCAUUCUUGGCUGUGGUGGGAGAGGUGCUGAACGUUGUUCACGCUGGCUAUGUCAUGAGUGGAAUCUAUGGCGUCAAGGCUAGAGCUGGAGGGAAUGGGCUCCCCAUUGAGGUGAUGGACUUCAUCCCUGGUGCUAUUCAAGCAGUGGCUGUGGGCUUCCAGUCAGGGAUGCAGUGAAUGAGCCUCUUAUACCAGAAAAAGACAAGGCCCUGCUCUGAGGAGUGAAGACACAAUCCAGCAGGCAGGAGGGAUGGCUAAGUUCAAAGUCUUGAGAAGUGCCCCUCAUGGACACCCCAGGGUGCCCAUCUCCAGGUUACCACCAGGUGCUUCCAAGACCAAGAUAACCAGGCAAUCAUAGUAGAUGCAUCAAUGCACCCUUGCCCAAGGGCCUAGACAAGAGGUAUUGUUUAGCUUCGCAUGAAUUUUAUCACCUUGCCUAGAACCAGCCACCAUCUGCCAGGGCUCCUGACUUUUUCUGAAAUGAAUAGACACUAAAGCCUGCUGGGGAAUUUCAUGGAAAUCAAGAUGACUCAACCCAGAGUCCAUUUCAAGGCUAGGAUGCUAGAGGACGCCAACAAAGGAGUAGGGAAGUGAAACGGAUCAGCUCACAUCCAAGCCCUUGCAUGAUCAAUCCUGCAGUAGGAGUGCUGCUCAGUUGGGACUCAUGAGAGCCCGGAAGAGGAAAAAGCAGCUCUAAGCAUAGCAAAGAAGCUGUUAUGGAAAAGACCCAAAUGUUAAAAUGGUGGACAUAGUAAAGUGAUUGGUUCUGCUUAGGGGAAUCUAGAUCCCCACAUUUUGACCUCCACUGGAGUCUCAGAAGAACAAGUGCCAGGGGGGCUUGCCACAGAGGCCAAGGCAGUGAAUGUCAGGCACAUCACAGUCCCCAAGAUGGGGAGAAGACUGAGAUGCAGGGUAACAACUGCAAUCCAUUCAUGGGAGCCAUGUUUAUCUUAAAUCAUUGACAGUGAGAUAAGGAUCAUGUCAGCCUUCAUACCUUUGAUGAUGAUCCCAGGCUGCAACAGUGACACAUAGAACUGGAUUCAGUAACUAACUACAGAUUCCAUCAACCAGGACUAGUAAAGUGAAAGGCAGAAAUUGGGAGGAGGGGUUUCUUUCUUGCUUAUAAAACUUUAUUUGGUUGUGUUGAGUAUGUGCAUGUAUGUAUGAAAUCCCAUAAAGCAGUCUUCUUAGGAACAAGCCAACAUGCCACAAUGUAGGAGAUCUUUGGAGCACUGGCCUAAAUGGCAGAGAGCUCAAGGGACUCUGCUUUGUACAAGGCAUGAUUUGUACCACCACCACUAUCCCUGUUUCAGAGCACUGUUGAAUUGUUCCAAACCUGGAUUUCUAUGUCAGCUCCCUGUCUAUAGUACUUGACUGAUAAAUGCUAGUUUCUGAAAUCUGCUUUGG